GCGGCGCUCUGGGUCUUCGGCGGCGGGUCCUUCGCUUGCUCUGGGUCUUCGGCAGCACUUUGGCAGCGUGUCCUUCAGUGCCGCCGGAGAUCUGGAGCGAGAGAAGGACCCCGGGGAAGACCCAGAGCCCUGCCCGGUGAGUACAAGCCCCAUGUGUUUUUUUACAUUUUUUUUUAUAGUCAUCCCUGACAGCCCGAGGAAACUGUUCAAAUCGGGCCCCACACUUCCUAAAGCUGGCCCUGUCUGAACUUCCCAGGACACAUUUCCCUCUGCUCCCUCCCUGCACUUUCCAGCGGACCCGGACAUUGCUGGGAAGGCGGAUGGGCAGGGAAUUCAGUUCCAGCCCUCGCUCAGCGCCCCGAGGAAUUUUCACCUACUAGAGAGAGGCUCAGCCCAGUUUGAUCCUGUGACCCGACCCCACCUGAGUCACUGACCCCCCAGUGACCGGCCGUUCCACAGCCUCACGGCCCAGGAGUCUCCCACUACCAGAUCCCACCGCACUGAGGAUGAUGGCCCAGCACACACCCUCAUGAGAAUACCCCUAGUUUCCACCUAAGAUGUCCCCUGAAACUGACAAGGACUGUACCCUGGGAAAGGAUUGGGCCCAGACUAGAAAGGAGUCUAGUCUGUGAAAGGAGCUUACUGGAACAUCUCUGACGGGUCGAGACCUCUUCAUUUUCUAAGAAGGGAACUGAGGAAAAGGUUCCUUUACGUGACAUGCCCAGGUCACACCAGGGGUUUGUAGAUCAGCGAGGAAUGUAGUGACGAGGAAUCCAGUCUGCCAGCUGGAGACCCUACACACUGGACCCUCCUUCCUACUCUCAGGAAGCCCCGCCCCGCUGUCAGGAUCUGGGUGCUGAGCUGAGCCCGCUGUCUCUGUGUGGUAUAAACGGGAAACUUGUCCCCGAGGGGAUAUUGCCGUGUACUGAGACACCAUCCCCCGUCAUCUCUUCUGCCCACUCUGGGGAACCCGCAUGCAAAUCCCUGCCCCAGGGGGCUCCUGUUUAAAUACAAACCCCUGGUUCUAGGAGCCUCAGUCUCUCCCCAGACACAGAACUACUCAGUCCUGCCCGCUGGGGUCUUUCUUUCAUUGCAUGAAAACGAGAAUGAAAUUGCUGCUGCUUUUCCU